AGCAGCAUGGCGCAGUUGGAAGCGCGCGGGGCCCAUAUAUCUGUUGUCACCCCGAGGUCACUUGAUCGAAACAAGUUGCUGCUA